GUCGAAGGAGUAGGGCACCCGCUCGUUGAUUCUUUAACUCACCAGACGCCUCAGCUGAUAGGAGAUACAAAGACAACGAGCACGCCACACCUUCUACCUGUCGCUUCAACACCAACACCAACACCAACGUUUGCUCUCCCCUCUGGGUCGUGGCCUUUGUGGGAGACAUCGACGCCGGUUUCCUCAGUACCUCUGGAUCUACUAUCCGGACCGUUCCCUGCUGAAGACUCGACGUCGGCAUCUGGGCUAUCCGCACCUCCACAGCCACCGUCGCCGACACCAUCAGCACAGCCAGCAACC